UCAGAGCCUCAGUGGGUGAAAUGAGUGCACCCUCAUAAUGAGAGCUGCUAUGUUUGGGAUCUCUCCUUGCUCCUCCAUUCGUGAUCUUACUUUCCUUUUAGUCCUAAAGAUUCAAACACGUGGUGUCAGUGUUGCUCUGAAGCACAGACCGAUUCCCAGGGUCAGGCUAUAAAUUCUUUAACUAAAUCCACUGACAAAUCACCCAGAAAAGCUUUUAAUAUGUUUGCAGGCUUAGCCACAGGAGCAAAGCAAAUUGUUCUUGAGAUCUUCAAAGCAGGCGUGCAGGUUUCACCAGUUCUUCCUCUUGCCCUGGGCAGGUCUGCAAGUCUGCUGGAACCUGGAACACAGCAGCCCUCCUGCCCAGCCACCCCAUUCCUGAGCUUCCUCUCCAUGCAAGAGUCCACUUGUAAAACAAACAACGGGCUGGGAGUUGUGUCUCCCCUUCACCACCAGAGCCUGGCAACCAUGCAUUACCCAACAAUGGUUACCGUGGCUGCAAGGAGGAAGCAGACAGCAAGCCCACAGAAGUGUUUAUUGAAGAAAGGGAAGUCAAUAGUCCCUGGAGUUAAUGAGUGAUUGUUAUUUAUGGAAGGAAUGGUAUUUGCAGAUGGGAAUGACUGCAAAAUGCAUAGAAGGACACAGCCAUGCCCUUUCCACGGAAGUCACAGAGCACACCUCAACACACUGAGAAGACGUCCACGACAGAGAAAGAUGACGAAGGUCUCCUUUCUUCCACAUCGUAGGAGAUUUUCUGCCAUAAACUCAGUUUAUUCUAUAGUUGUUUAUGUCCUCAGCAUUUUGGAGACAGCUGUUCUCAUGAAGUGAAGACUGGCUCAGAUUGUUUGAUUAAUUGCAAGAAUUGUGGAAACGGGAGGAAGAAUUCAUGAAGGAUGCCUCCCUUACCUGUACAGAGUUGUUUUCAUUGAUAAAGGGUUGUGAUCUGUAAAAUGGGGAUAUCGACAUUUGUUUCAGGAGAAUGAGCUUUAUUUGGGCAGAUUUGGCUUUGAAUUCUGUUUCUACCUCUUAGAGAUUGUGUGACAGUUGUUAUUUAAUAUCUGAGUCUCAAAUUUCUCAUCUGUAAACUGAAUAUAACACUUAUACUGAAUGUCAUACUUAUAUUACAAGAUGUCCAUGUUAUUCUAAUCAUGUCUUUUUAGUUUCUGUGUUUUCUGAUGUUUUGGCUUCUGGGGUCUUGCUGAUCCUGGAGAGACUCCCCCUCCCAGGACUGGUCAGUUCCUAGCAGUAGUAAGGGACUCACCUACAAGUGUGCCUUUUGUAUGCAAGCCACCAAUCCAAAGCCCAUGCCCCCACUGACCCCCUUUAUCUAGCUUUCACUUGCAGAGCCACUAUCCCCCUGCCCUAAUCACCCCAGGGACAGAUAUUAAACAACUAGAAAUAGCCACGAUGCCCUAGAGCCCAGUGAAAUUAUUUAAAAUGGGCAAUACUACACCUGCCUGCCUGUCCUACAUUUCCCCCUCACAACCCAUAAUGAAGUCUCUUGCCCACAUUUUCUUCUCAUUCCCUCUGCCUCCUGACCGAUCCUGGUGCUUCCCCACGUGGCCCUGCAUGGCAUGGUGUGACCUCUGCUCUUGAAUUGUGAGUAACACACGCUGUACGUAAUGGCAGUCAUCUCCUGACCCAUUUCCUCACCAUACCUGAAUAAUAAUAAAACCUAUUGUCUCAGCCUAUUUGGGCUGCUAUAACAAAACACUAUAGACUGAGUGGCUUCAACAGUAAAUAUUUAUUUCUCACACUUCUGGAGGUGGGGGAGUUCAAGGUCAAGGCACUGAAAGGCUCAGUGUCUGAUGAGAACCCGCUUCCUGGCUCAUGGACAUCCAGCUUUUCUCUGUGGCUGAAAGAAGCCGAAGCACUCUCUGGGGUCUCUUUUAUAAUGGCACUAAUCCAUUCACAGGUCCUCCACCCUCGUGACAUAGGUGGAGCCCCCAUGAAUAGCCUCACCUCCAAAAGUCAUCACAUUGAGGGUUAGGAUUGUGAUACAUGCACUUGGAGGAGGCACACACAUUCAGUCCACAACACUCAUGAUGUAAAAACACAUGCCCCAAUCUCUGGAACCUGUGAAUGUUACCUUGUAUGGCAAAAGGGACUUCACGGGUGUGAAAAAGACAUGAAUCUGUAGAUGGGAGAUUAUCUUGGGCUAGCCAGGCGGGCCUGGUGUGAUCAUGAGGAUCCUUAGAAGGGGGAGGCAGGAGAUCAGCAUGAGUAGCAGAGGAGGGUGAGGCCACGAGCCAAGGAAUGCUGACAGCUUCUAGAAGCUGGAAGAGGCGAGGAAUGAAUUCUCCCCUGGAACUUUCAGAAGGAAUCAACACUGCCAACACCCUAAUGGUAGCCCUGUAAGGCCUAUUUCUGACACUCUGACCUCCAGAACUGUAAGAUAAUCAAUGUGUGUUGUUUUGAGCCACUAAAUGUGUGAUCAUCUCUUACAGCAACAAUAGGGAACUAAUAUAAGUUUCAACAAAUCAUGAUUAUUUUCACUGUCAAGUACAAUAAUAUUCAGAAUGUGGAAACACUUUUGAAAAGUUAAAGUGUCAUGUGAAGAUUAUUAUUAUCAAAGCUGUUAUUUGUUCUGCUUCCAUUUGAUUCAAGUCCACUGCUUCCAAACUUUGUAUUUCAAUAUUUUAUUAUUGUAUCCAUGAAUGCCAAAGCUACACUUGCAUUCUUUUUACCAUUUCCAAGAAGACGUAUGUCUUAAGGGACAGUUGACUACAGUCCUUGCCCCAUAGGGAUGUAGAUCACUGGCCCCCUAUCACUCAUGGGUCUGUGUCACAUAAGAGACCCAACUACUUGAUCUUGACUCUUGAUUGAAGAUUGAAUAGGAUAAUAAGAAGCGAGAGGAAAAUGAGGUACCCAACAGCCAGUGGCAGAGACUGCAAGGAGUCUCCUAGUAUCUAUUUUCCCCGUAGUCUAUGAAGAUUUUUUACCUGGGCACAUGGCCACUCAAAUGUGGACUACAUUACUCAGACUGCCUUCCAUGUCAGUGUGGUCACUUGACUAAGUUCCAUGAAAUGGAAAGAGAAUUGAUAAAUGCAACUUCAAGGAAAUGUCCUUAAAGAGAAAUGCUGUGUCCUGCUCCAGUUCUUACCUCAUUCCUGCUGGCCUGAUUGCUGAUGUUGACAGUUGACCCCACCCACAACAUGGAAUUCAAAUGUCAAAGAUGGCAAAGCAACAAAAUAGAAGGAUUUGGUUCCUGAAAAUUGUGGAGUCCACAUACCAACAGUUCUGAAUUGUCCAUGGUUAUGUGAAAAUAAACAUCUAUCUUGCCUGA
rnacentral:lncRNA from 1 species